rnacentral:rRNA from 1 species
GGAGGUUAGUGCAAUGGCAUAAGCCAGCUUGACUGCGAGCGUGACGGCGCGAGCAGGUGCGAAAGCAGGUCAUAGUGAUCCGGUGGUUCUGAAUGGAAGGGCCAUCGCUCAACGGAUAAAAGGUACUCCGGGGAUAACAGGCUGAUACCGCCCAAGAGUUCAUAUCGACGGCGGUGUUUGGCACCUCGAUGUCGGCUCAUCACAUCCUGGGGCUGAAGUAGGUCCCAAGGGUAUGGCUGUUCGCCAUUUAAAGUGGUACGCGAGCUGGGUUUAGAACGUCGUGAGACAGUUCGGUCCCUAUCUGCCGUGGGCGCUGGAGAACUGAGGGGGGCUGCUCCUAGUACGAGAGGACCGGAGUGGACGCAUCACUGGUGUUCGGGUUGUCAUGCCAAUGGCACUGCCCGGUAGCUAAAUGCGGAAGAGAUAAGUGCUGAAAGCAUCUAAGCACGAAACUUGCCCCGAGAUGAGUUCUCCCUGACCCUUUAAGGGUCCUGAAGGAACGUUGAAGACGACGACGUUGAUAGGCCGGGUGUGUAAGCGCAGCGAUGCGUUGAGCUAACCGGUAC